rnacentral:sRNA from 1 species
AAUACUGUUAUCAAUUUUCAAUAUUGAUAAGACUAUACAUUUAUAAAUUUCUUUUUCAAAUAUUAUUUUUUAUUUGUAUUAUUUUUUAUAAUGAUACCGUGUAAUUUAUUAAUUUAUAAAUAUUAUCAGUUUAUCAAGAUUAGUUUAUAGAUGUUUUACUGUACCACUUGAACUAUAUGGAGAACAAAUAUGGGAAGUUAUCCUCCUCUGUUGGUUCGUCCUAGAAAACUCUCUCGGGCACAAAAGCCAAGGAGCCGCAAACCACUGUUGAGAUGUGUUUUCCUCACCGAUAUUGCUCCUCCGACGAUUUCCCUCACUGACCAACACUUGCUUCCUAGGUGAUAUAUCUCAAGUGAACUCCUUCCGGCGACGUUGUUAUUUCCCGAUGAGUUUCCCCUGAUAUGACUUUCUUCUGCAUGUCACUUACCUCGAUUUGAGGCUCCUUUCGUUGUUGCCACCAGAGUCUCCGCCAGAACCGCCAGACCCACCAAACCUACCAGAUCCUCUUCCUCAUAUCAAUAGUUUUUCCGACGUAUCUCAUGCUCAACCGCAUCUUUCCACCUUUCUAAUCUCGUUUUCCUCCAACGAAGCUCUUUCUCCUUCCCAGCAUCCACCAUGUUUUGUUCAAUGGCUCUCAUCCUCCCCUACCGACUAAGAGAACCAGGCGCUCUUCUCAAGCUGUUCUUAGGGGCGGAGGUAUAUGGCUAGCAAGGGGUCAAUUGACCCCUAUGGAUUUUAAAAAAUUGUUUAUUUACUUAUAUUUUUUGAAGCA